rnacentral:rRNA from 1 species
AGAAUGAACGCUAGCGAUAUGCUUAACACAUGCAAGUUGAACGUUGUUUUCGAAUCAGAAUGAGAACAAAGUAGCGAACGGGUGCGUAACACGUGGGAAUCUGCCGAACAGUUUGGGCCAAAUCCCGAAUGAAUAAAAGCUAAAAAGCGCUGUUUGAUGAGCCCACGUAGUAUUAGGUAGUUGGUUAGGUAAAAGCUGACCAAGCCUACGAUGCUUAGCUGGUCUUUUCGGAUGAUCAGCCACACUGGGACUGAGACACGGCCCAGACUCCUACGGGAGGCAGCAGUGGGGAAUCUUGGACAAUGGGCGAAAGCCUGAUCCGGCAAUAUGGCGUGAGUGAAGAAGGGCAACGCAGCUUGUAAAGCUCUUUCAUCGAGUGUGCGAUUGUGACAAGACUCGAAUAAGAAGCCCCGGCUAACUCCGCGCCAGCAGCCG